rnacentral:rRNA from 1 species
CAAAAACAUAGCCAAGUGUAAAUACUCUUGGUAAUUUCUGCUCAAUGAUAUUUAAAUAGCCGCAGUACCCUGACUGUGCAAAGGUAGCAUAAUCAAUUGACUUUUAAUUAAAGCCUGGCAUGAACGAAUAUACGAGAGAUUAGCUUUAUCAAUAAUAUAAUAAAAAUUUACUUAGUAAGUGAAAAUUCUUACUGUGUUAUAUAAGACGAGAAGACCCUAGAAAUUUGAUUACUUGUUUUGUUGGGGCAACAUAGUGGCAAAAUAACCUACUAACUAUACGGGAAGUUUUCUGUAAGAUAAAAUUACUCUAGGGAUAACAGCAUAAUACUAAAGUGUUUGUGACCUCGAUGUUGGAUUAGGAAGUAGUAGUUUAGAAAAUAAGCUUUACGCUCUGUUC